ACCAAACCCUAAGUGCCCCCACCCAACAUCAUAUUCUCUCCUCCAAAGAAACUGCCGCCCCAAAUGGGAAGACUCAUUCUUCCCUAAACUUCUCCUUCCCACUUCUUCUGCAUCUUCAACUUCUUUUUCCCUAAACAACUUGCAGCAAACUAGCACCCAAGGACAGCCGCACGCCGCACGCCGCACGCUGCACCCAACCGCAACCGCUUGAUGCUGCUCUGUCGUUCGCAAAUUGUUGAAGAAACCAAGGCAGCUGCUAUAAUAUUGAAUCUGUGCUAAAGAAAAGGAAGAGAAGUGAGGAAUGGUCAUUGUUGAAGAACCAAGAGCUGAAGGUAAAGAAGGAUGAAAAUGCUUAAAAUAGAAAGAUAAUCUUUAAGAGGGCUGAGCAAAAUAGCAAAGAAUACAUAGUAAAGUAUUAUGUUAAAUGCUAACCACGAGAUGCCUUUGAUCCGAUUUACUUUGCGUGGAGCAGUACUCUUCUAGGGGAAUUGUUGGAAACCCACACUUUUCUUGCCACCAGACAAUCUUGAUAAACAUGAACCCGGGAUCUUAUGUGCAAGCCUCUGUUUUUAGUGGAUUUAAGGCUCUCCUUUUACAAAUCUCUCCACUUGUGGGAAGGGUCCUCUGUCCUUUAAUUUUUUAGUUGCCUUGUUUGGGAUCCUCAUCAACGAAGCCAAUAUCUACAAUGGCGUUUGGUACUCAACAUCUUGUUCAAAUUGCCCCUUAUAUCAUGUGUUGUUAGAUUCAGAUAUUAUUCCCAAUAAUAGCUUGUACAAGAUUGUUGAUAUAAUUCAAGGUUUGAACGGCCUGUCAAGACCCAUCAUCGAAUAUGCAAGCUUUGAGCAGCCUGUCAAGAUUCAUCAUCGAAUGCAAAAAGAAAAAACUCCUCUUAUCUAGGGAAAAAUAGUGUAAUGCAUGGUGAUGGGUUGUUAUUAUGGACAAAACACGUGAUACUGUUCAGAUAAGUUGAUAGGGAAUCAAUUUUAAGGGUUCAAUCAGGGAUGGCAUUGGCAGACGGGCGGGUUUUUACAGGUAUAGGUUCACCUUACACGGAUUGUGGCCAAUUACUCUGGAUGGCAAGAGUCCUAAUUACAGGAAAUGUAAAAGGAUUCCCUUAAUGCUAAUCAGCUAAUUCACUCUCAGAUCAUCCAUGAUUUAAACAAUUUGUGGCCCUCCCUCGAAAAAAAUAGUGCUAAUACUAAAUUUUGGAAACAUGAAUGGGAGCAUCAUGGCAGAUGCACUACGUGGGAGCAAUUUCGCUACUUCCAAACAUCUAUUGAAAGGGUAAAGCAUGCGAAUACACUUGAAAUGUUGAAAGCAUCAGAUAUUAUUCCCAACAAUAGCUUGUACAAGAUUGUUGAUAUAAUGUAAGUUUUGAGCGGUCUGUCAAGACCCAUCAUUGAAUGCAGAACAAAAACAUCGGAUGACGCACAUCCUUUAUUAUACCAGGUA